rnacentral:rRNA from 1 species
GUAAGGAAUAUUGGACAAUGGAGGCAACUCUGAUCCAGCCAUCCCGCGUGCAGGACGAAUGCCCUAUGGGUUGUAAACUGCUUUUGUGAGGGAAGAACCGCCCUAAAUUUUUAGGGUUUGACGGUACCUUACGAAUAAGCACCGGCUAACUCCGUGCCAGCAGCCGCGGUAAUACGGAGGGUGCAAGCGUUAUCCGGAAUCACUGGGUUUAAAGGGUGCGUAGGCGGCCUAGUAAGUCAGGGGUGAAAGGUCACGGCUCAACCGUGGAAUUGCCUUUGAUACUGCUGGGCUUGAAUCAGGAUGAGGUCGGCGGAAUGUGGCAUGUAGCGGUGAAAUGCAUAGAUAUGCCAUAGAACACCAAUUGCGAAGGCAGCUGGCUAGACCUUGAUUGACGCUGAGGCACGAAAGCGUGGGGAGCGAACAGGAUUAGAAACCCUUGUAGUCC